GAUCCUGGCUCAGGACGAACGUUGGCGGCGUGCUUAACACAUGCAAGUCGAAAGAGAAUCUGUGGAAAGAGGAUUCGUCCAAUUGAAACAGAGGACAGUGGCGGACGGGUGAGUAACGCGUGAGGAACCUGCCUUUCAGAGGGGGACAACAGUUGGAAACGACUGCUAAUACCGCAUGACACAUUGAGGUCGCAUGGCCUUAAUGUCAAAGAUUUAUCGCUGAAAGAUGGCCUCGCG
rnacentral:rRNA from 1 species